rnacentral:lncRNA from 1 species
GGCCAGCAGUCUGUGUUUUAACUGGCUUUUCAGGUGAUUCUGAUGUAUGUUCCAAUUUGAGAACCACUGCUAUAGAUGCUAAUUCUUUGGUUACCUGCUUCAGUAUAGACCAGUUCUCACAGAUAGAACAUCCUCCUGUAUCAGAAAAAGAGGAAUGAAAGAAAGGGAGACCAACAAAUAAAUAAAAGAAGAAAGGAAAGGCCCAGAAGAUUAAGUAGAGGAAACUUGACCUUUACGGCCUGGUACAGUGCUGCAGCAACUGCCUUAGAUAGCUUCUCACUGGCAGGGAAGCCACACCCACCUUAGUCUACAGUUCACCUGUUUAGAAGUCAUUCUUCUACAGCUGUGUGGAUAUAUAAGAUGUCCCAGGAGUUCAGUCUUCCUGCGUAUAGAUGUGCACAGAUAUGAUGGACAUCUUUCACACACAGUCAAAUACAACCAAGAGGAGAAUUACGAGGCAGAUAAUGAUUUUGUGUUCUUUUGUGGAGGGAUGCUUCAACUGAAAGGUAAACAAUUUAGAAAAUAAAAUAAAUAAUAUGUGUUAUGGUUUAUGAAGUAUUAGAAAAACAUAUAAUGAGAUUAUCUCUUAAGAAUUGUGUAGCUUGUUGCUGACAUACAGGUGGGCUGAAAGUUAAAAGCAUCUAAGAGAAACUGGUCAUGUAUGAGAGGAAUUUUCAGCCUCCUAGUCAAUUAAGAAUUCAGAAAGUAUGUAAUUACUGAAUCUGAUUGCAGUGAUCAUAGGCCAAUAUGAAGAUGUAAAUGUAAAGGAUAACUAACACAAGUUGUACUCAAUGAUGUGUUAUCUUUUAUUUCCAAAGGUAGUUAUACUGUUUUCCUAGACUGACACAAAAACCUCUUGUAAAUUCUAUAUUAUGAAUAAAUAGCGUUUACUUAAUAUCUAUAUCUACAUUAAAAAAUGUUGCUCCUGCAAAAAAAUUUGAUGUUUUUAGGUAUUGGGUUAUUAUAAAAUAUAAUUAAACCAUUA